rnacentral:ncRNA from 1 species
CUAUGGUCAGGUCAUGGCGAAAGAG